rnacentral:rRNA from 1 species
UACGGAGGAUCCAAGCGUUAUCCGGAUUUAUUGGGUUUAAAGGGUGCGUAGGUGGGCUGAUAAGUCAGAGGUGAAAGCUAGCAGCUUAACUGUUAAAUUGCCUUUGAUACUGUUAUUCUUGAGUAUAGUUGGCGUUGGCGGAAUGUGACAUGUAGCGGUGAAAUGCGUAGAUAUGUCACAGAACACCGAUCGCGAAGGCAGCUAACGAAGCUAUCACUGACACUGAGGCACGAAAGCGUGGGGAGCAAACAGG